CUCUUUCUCCUAUUUUCAUCUAUGGAUGAAUAGAUCUUGCAUCCCGCAGAGUUUUUAAUUACAUGAAUUUUUACGGUGAAUCAACAAAAGUGCACGUGCCAAGCGGUCGCGCAACGAGAUGCGCCAGAGAGAUGUACCGCAGCAUCCUCAUCUCGUCGGAAUGUACGAGGGCGAGGAAAAGGGACAUGUCGCGCGUGAAUCCUAUGGCCAGAGAGAAGAGGACAAUGCUGAGAGAGACCGUUGGAAAGGACAAAGGUACUUAUCUCUCUGCAUACAAUACACAUAACGCAGCCCGCCACUUGGUGUGCGAAUGGCCGCCUUCUUCUCGCGCGAUAAAUUGAUUUCUCGCUUUGGCAUGUGUAUAUCGUAUAUAUAUAUGUAUGUAUAAUACAUGUAUAUCAUCCGUCUUAAUGUGGAAACUUAUUACUCCUGCCCCAAAGGAUACAACCGAAAAUGAGACCAAUCGGUAAUCAUGUGAUAUCAACACAAAUGAGAUAUAUCCUGAUUGAUCAAAUAAAAUAAUAAAAUAAAUAAAAAGUAGACACACAAAAA